AAGCAACCAGUAGCCUGCUAUUCAAUGGAAUGGCUGUGUGUUGUUUUUCCAGAGUUCCCACCAUAAAGCCAGAGAAUUCCAGAAUUUGCUUUGAUGACAAAGUUUGAAUACAAAACCGCCGCGCCACCUUCAUGUUUAAGUGAGCACAACACAAGCUAAGGUGUCUGGAGAGAGGGAAAAGCAGUAGAUGCUCAGAUGACAACAGAGACCGUCUACAGAAGCAAUAAGGCCCCAUCUAUCCCAAACCACCAGACAUGUAUUCUUGUUGUACUGAGAUGUUCUGUGUUAUGGAUGUACCAGUUUGUGUGCGUCACGUACAGGAAACUGCCAAAAUAAAGUAAAUGAGGGAUAAAAGAG